UAUCCAAUCCAUUUGACCAAUUUAUUCAUUUUUAGGACAAUACAAUCAAUUUUGAAUAAAUCAUCAAUUCCAUUCAAUUCAUUAUUCAUUUAAUCAAUUUUAUUUUUUUGAAUAAAUUCUCAAUUUCAUCCAAUCCAUUGGAUCGGUUUUAUUCACUUUCAGGAUAAUCCAGUCAAUUUUUGAACUAACCAUCAAUUUCAUUCGAUUCAUUUAACCUAUUUAUUCUCUUUUAAAGUUUCGAUCUAUGGUUCACCGAAGAAAUUAGUCGAGACAUUUCAAUCCUUUCAAAAGUAAGUUUUAUACACUAAAUUGAUUUUGAUAUCAUUUUAUGUGUCAAUCAAAGCAAUCAAUCCAUUCGGACUUUGUCCUCAUUUUGUUAGGACAAAUUAUCUCUUGUUACUCCAAUUAUCCAGUCUUUUCAAAAUUGUCUUUUCAUUGAAUCUCAAUAAGUCGAUCGGAUCCAUCAGGUAUUGUAUG
rnacentral:lncRNA from 1 species